rnacentral:lncRNA from 1 species
AAAAAAUAAGCAUAAAUAUAUAUUAAUCCUUAAUAUUUAUAAUAGAUAUGUGUACAGGAAAAUUCAGUGACGCAAAUGAGUUCUGAAUAUUGGCGCAAUUGAUACAUUUAGAUAACAAAAAUUGGCGCAAUUGAUACAUUUAGAUAACAAAAAUGGGCGCAAAUGAUACCCCUGAAAAACUUUCUAUAGGCUCCACUGUACAGCUACAUUUACAUGAAUCACAUCUAACCGUUUGUUUGGCAAGGCGGGUUAGUAUUUAGGGGAGGAUGGAAGGGACAGGAAGCACGCCCCUUUUAAAGAACUUUAAAUAUGGUAAACAAAUGACCUAUUUAAUAGUAUUUUCAAAUGUUGGCUUGCUUUACCCCCACCCCCACUUUAAAGUGUUUGGUCCACACCCGGUUUAUUAAACACUGCUGACAUCUAAACUUUUAAUGAGGCUACUCUAUGUUUGACCGUUAAAAUUAGAUAGCGUUUCAAAUUUUACUUUAAAUUAAAAUCGAUUAAUUAACCAGUCCUCUUCUGUAAAA